CCCUGUGACAUACCUAUAACGUUGCCUCGGCGGGAACAGACGGCCCCGUAACACGGGCCGCCCCCGCCAGAGGACCCCCUAACUCUGUUUCUAUAAUGUUUCUUCUGAGUAAACAAGCAAAUAAAUUAAAACUUUCAACAACGGAUCUCUUGGCUCUGGCAUCGAUGAAGAACGCAGCGAAAUGCGAUAAGUAAUGUGAAUUGCAGAAUUCAGUGAAUCAUCGAAUCUUUGAACGCACAUUGCGCCCGCCAGUAUUCUGGCGGGCAUGCCUGUUCGAGCGUCAUUACAACCCUCAGGCCCCCGGGCCUGGCGUUGGGGAUCGGCGGAAGCCCCCUGCGGGCACAACGCCGUCCCCCAAAUACAGUGGCGGUCCCGCCGCAGCUUCCAUUGCGUAGUAGCUAACACCUCGCAACUGGAGAGCGGCGCGGCCACGCCGUAAAACACCCAACUUCUGAAUGUUGACCUCGAAUCAGGUAGGAAUACCCGCUGAACUUAAGC
rnacentral:rRNA from 1 species